CCCUUAGACGUUCUGGGCCGCACGCGCGCUACACUGACCAGUGCAACAAGCAUCCGUCCUUGGCCGACAGGCCCGGGCAAUCUUUGAACGCUGGUCGUGAUGGGGAUAGACUUUUGCAAUUUUUGGUCUUCAACGAGGAAUUCCUAGUAAACGCAAGUCAUCAACUUGCAUUGAUUACGUCCCUGCCCUUUGUACACACCGCCCGUCGCACCUACUGAUUGGAUGACUCGGUGAAGAAUCGGGACCGUGAGAACAAUCGAUUCAUUUCGAAUGUACUUGUGGGAACCUUUCUUAACCUCGUUUUCUAGAAGAAGGUGAAGUCGUAACA
rnacentral:rRNA from 1 species